rnacentral:snRNA from 1 species
AUCGCUUCUCGGCCUUUUGGCUAAGAUCAAGUGUAGUACAAAGACUUUGCUUCCAUUUGUUUCUUAUUCUCUUUCUUUUUCUCUUU